rnacentral:rRNA from 1 species
CUGGGGAGUACGAUCGCAAGGUUGAAACUCAAAGGAAUUGACGGGGGCCCGCACAAGCGGAGGAACAUGUGGUUUAAUUCGAUGAUACGCGAGGAACCUUACCCGGGCUCGAACGGUGCAUGAAUGUCAGAGAGAUUUGACAGUCCUUCGGGACAUGUAUCGAGGUGCUGCAUGGUUGUCGUCAGCUCGUGCCGUGAGGUGUCGGCUUAAGUGCCAUAACGAGCGCAACCCUUGUUGACAGUUACCAUCAGGUAAAGCUGGGGACUCUGUCGAGACUGCCACCGUAAGGUGUGAGGAAGGGGGGGAUGACGUCAAAUCAGCACGGCCCUUAUGUCCGGGGCGACACACGUGUUACAAUGGGAGGUACAGAGAGCAGCUAUCCAGUGAUGGAGUGCAAAUCUCAAAAACCUUUCUCAGUUCGGAUUGGAGUCUGCAACUCGACUCCAUGAAGUUGGAUUCGCUAGUAAUCGCGCAUCAGCCAUGGCGCGGUGAAUACGUUCCCGGGCCUUGUACACACCGCCCGUCAAGCCAUGGAAGCUUGGGGUGCUUGAAGUUCGUGAC